rnacentral:tRNA from 1 species
UGGCUCAGUUGGUAGAGUGCUUGCCUCACAUGCAUAAGGCCCUGGGUUCAAUCCCCAG